CACCUUCGGGUGUGAAUUAGCGGCGAACGGGUGAGGAACACGUGAGAAAUCUGCCUUCAACUCUGGGAUAACUCCGGGAAACCGGGGCUAAUACCGGAUAUGAGCCUUGAUCGCAUGAUCGGGGCUGGAAAGUUUUUCGGUUGAAGAUGAUCUCGCGGCCUAUCAGCUUGUUGGUGAGGUAAUGGCUCACCAAGGCGACGACGGGUAGCCGGCCUGAGAGGGCGACCGGCCACACUGGGACUGAGACACGGCCCAGACUCCUACGGGAGGCAGCAGUGGGGAAUAUUGGGCAAUGGAGGAAACUCUGACCCAGCGACGCCGCGUGAGGGAUGAAGGCCUUCGGGUUGUAAACCUCUUUCAGUAGGGAAGAAGCGAAAGUGACGGUACCUACAGAAGAAGCACCGGCUAACUAUGUGCCAGCAGCCGCGGUAAUACAUAGGGUGCAAGCGUUGUCCGGAAUUAUUGGGCGUAAAGAGCUCGUAGGUGGUUUGAUACGUCGGAUGUGAAAAUCAGGGGCUCAACCCCUGACCUGCAUUCGAUACGGUCAAGCUAGAGUGUGGUAGGGGAGACUGGAAUUCCUGGUGUAGCGGUGGAAUGCGCAGAUAUCAGGAGGAACACCGAUGGCGAAGGCAGGUCUCUGGGCCAUUACUGACACUGAGGAGCGAAAGCGUGGGGAGCGAACAGGAUUAGAUACCCUGGUAGUCCACGCCGUAAACGGUGGGCGCUAGUUGUGCGAACCUUCCACGGUUUGUGCGACGCAGCUAACGCAUUAAGCGCCCCGCCU
rnacentral:rRNA from 1 species